UACGGAGGGUGCAAGCGUUAUCCGGAUUUACUGGGUUUAAAGGGUGCGUAGGUGGGUUGGUAAGUCAGUGGUGAAAUCUCCGAGCUUAACUUGGAAACUGCCAUUGAUACUAUCAGUCUUGAAUAUUGUGGAGGUCAGCGGAAUAUGUCAUGUAGCGGUGAAAUGCUUAGAUAUGACAUAGAACACCAAUUGCGAAGGCAGCUGGCUACGCAUAUAUUGACACUGAGGCACGAAAGCGUGGGGAUCAAACAGG
rnacentral:rRNA from 1 species